UACGUAGGGCGCAAGCGUUGUCCGGAAUUAUUGGGCGUAAAGAGCUCGUAGGCGGCUUGUCACGUCGAUUGUUAAAGCCCGAGGCUUAACCUCGGGUCUGCAGUCGAUACGGGCUAGCUAGAGUGUGGUAGGGGAGAUCGGAAUUCCUGGUGUAGCGGUGAAAUGCGCAGAUAUCAGGAGGAACACCGGUGGCGAAGGCGGAUCUCUGGGCCAUUACUGACGCUGAGGAGCGAAAGCGUGGGGAGCGAACAGG
rnacentral:rRNA from 1 species